rnacentral:rRNA from 1 species
GACCAGACUCCUACGGGAGGCAGCAGUGGGGAAUAUUGCACAAUGGGGGAAACCCUGAUGCAGCGACGCCGCGUGAGCGAUGAAGUAUUUCGGUAUGUAAAGCUCUAUCAGCAGGGAAGAAAAUGACGGUACCUGACUAAGAAGCCCCGGCUAACUACGUGCCAGCAGCCGCGGUAAUACGUAGGGGGCAAGCGUUAUCCGGAUUUACUGGGUGUAAAGGGAGCGUAGACGGCUGUGCAAGCCAGAUGUGAAAGCCCGGGGCUCAACCCCGGGACUGCAUUUGGAACUGUGUGGCUGGAGUGUCGGAGAGGCAGGCGGAAUUCCUAGUGUAGCGGUGAAAUGCGUAGAUAUUAGGAGGAACACCAGUGGCGAAGGCGGCCUGCUGGACGAUGACUGACGUUGAGGCUCGAAAGCGUGGGGAGCAAACAGGAUUAGAUCCCCUAGUA